rnacentral:tRNA from 1 species
GGUAAGGUAGCUCAGUAGUAGAGUGCUUGCCUUCCAUGCAUAAGACCCUGGGUUCGAAUUCCUCAGUACCA